rnacentral:rRNA from 1 species
GACGAACGCUGGCGGCGUGCCUAAUACAUGCAAGUAGGACGCAGUUGCGAACGUGUGAGUAACGCGUAGGUAACUACCUAGUAGAGGGGGAUAACUAUUGGAAACGAUAGCUAAUACCGCCUACUAGUAGAUGGACCUGCGUUGUAUUAGCUAGUAGGUAGGGUAAAGGCCUACCUAGGGCACGAUACAUAGCCGACCUGAUGGGGUGAUCGGCCCAAAUGGGAAUGGGGCCCGGGCCCAGCUCCUACUGGAGGCAGCAGGAGGGGAAUUUCGGCAAAUGGGGGCAACCCGACCGCAGACAUCCGCGGGGGUGAAGAAGGGUUUUGGAGUGUAAAGCUCUGUUGUUAAGGGAGCGGUACUUAACCAGAAAGGGACGGCUAACUACGUGCCAGCAGCCGCGGUAAUAC